rnacentral:rRNA from 1 species
GGGCAAUGUGGUGUUAAGGUAUGCACCUUUGUUGCGCUCUACUACUUGAAGUCCAACUCCGAUUAUGGCUUUGGAUCUGUCCCGCAGAGGGUGAGAGGCCCGUUCAAGUAGUUGGAGUGCUGCUUAGAUGUGCAUGCCAUGGAGUCGGAUUGCUUGAGAAUGCAGUCCAAAGCGGGUGGUAAACUCCAUCCAAGGCUAAAUACUGGCACGAGUCCGAUAGUAAACAAGUACCGUGAGGGAAAGUUGAAAAGUACUCUGAAGAGAGAGUAAAUAGUACGUGAAGCCGCUUGCAGGGAAGCUGGUGGAGUCAAGCUUCAUGCCUGAAUGAUUGGUAACGAGAGUUGUUUGUAUAUUGCACUACUGGCUGGUGGAUCUGGAAACGUUCCGUCGGGUUCAUGCCUGGCUCGAGUGUUCCGGUGAGUGUACUUUGGCUGGCCACCUAGUGUUCUCUCUUACAUUCUAUCAUAAGGCAGCCACCACGGUUGAUGCACCAAUGGUGCAUGGGACUUGAACUGUGUCUAUAUGGAUCAUUGGUCUGUUGGAUGCAGCAUGGUAGAACGUGUCACAGCUUGGCUUGCUCAGGCUUUUGGCACUUAUCACGGCUUCGCCGACUGGGUCUCAUGCAGUGUGUUUUUUUACUAUUUGGUGCAUCAUGCAACUUCGUGCUGUCUCCAUAUUCAUUGGUGGCAGUAUGUGAGAGCCGUGGUGUUGAAGUAGACCUUCCACCCGACCCGUCUUGAAACACGGACCAAGGAGUUUAACAUGAGCGCAAGUCAAUGGGAGUGUACGAAACCCAGAGGCGUAAUGAAAGUGAAAGGAAGCCUUGUCGCCUCCUUAGGUGUGAUCCUGUCUGACCUUUACAAGGGCUGAUUGGCGCAACACCGGCCCGUCUCAAUUUGUAGUCACUUGAACCAAGGUCUGAGUGCGUCAAAGAGGCG